rnacentral:rRNA from 1 species
ACGCUCGACACCUACGGAGGCAGCAGUCGGGAAUAUUGCGCAAUGGAGGAAACUCUGACGCAGUGACGCCGCGUAUGGGAAGAAGGUUUUCGGAUUGUAAACCAUUUUAGACAAGGAAGAAACAAGACAGUACUUGUAGAAUAAGCUCCGGCUAACUACGUGCCAGCAGCCGCGGUAAUCUGAGCGGGCUGGCAAGGC